ACAACAAAUACACUGGUGCAGAUUUCGAUGAAGACUUACGUUCGGUGCUGCGUCGUGCUGGUUGCCGCGAUGAGAAGGUCGCCUUCAUACUGGACGAGUCUAAUGUACUGGAUAGCGGCUUUUUGGAGCGUAUGAACACGUUACUGGCUAACGGAGAGGUGCCCGGUCUAUUUGAGGGCGAUGAGUUUGCAGCGCUGAUGACUCAAUGCAAGGAAGGUGCGCAGAGGGAGGGACUCAUGUUGGAUUCUAACGAUGAAUUAUAUAAAUGGUUCACUGGACAAGUGAUGCGAAC